GACGAACGCUGGCGGCGUGCUUAACACAUGCAAGUCGAACGGAAAGACCCUGCUUUUGUGGGGUGCUCGAGUGGCGAACGGGUGAGUAACACGUGAGUAACCUGCCCUUGACUUUGGGAUAACUUCAGGAAACUGGGGCUAAUACCGGCUAGGAGCUCCUGCUGCAUGGUGGGGGUUGGAAAGUUUCGGCGGUUGGGGAUGGACUCGCGGCUUAUCAGCUUGUUGGUGGGGUAGUGGCUUACCAAGGCUUUGACGGGUAGCCGGCCUGAGAGGGUGACCGGCCACAUUGGGACUGAGAUACGGCCCAGACUCCUACGGGAGGCAGCAGUGGGGAAUAUUGCACAAUGGGCGGAAGCCUGAUGCAGCAACGCCGCGUGCGGGAUGACGGCCUUCGGGUUGUAAACCGCUUUCGCCUGUGACGAAGCGUGAGUGACGGUAAUGGGUAAAGAAGCACCGGCUAACUACGUG
rnacentral:rRNA from 1 species